UUCUCAAAAGAUGAAUUUUUUUUCCACAAUUUCUUUUUCGGUCGCCAGAAAUUCGGGUUUUCCACAAAGAACUAGUCCAAUUUCAUAUUCUUUUUAUAGAAAAACAGAAUUAGCUUUUGUAGGGAAUAGAAAUUGGGAAGAAAUAGACAAGCAAUUCAUGCAUUAUGGUUAAUGCUCCGCCGCGCUGAUUUGUAAGAAUUCUUGGGAAUAGAAAUUGGAAAAAAUGGUUAUUAGGUAAAACUAGACGAUUUUGCUUUGCGUACAUAGGAUGCGGAGAAGUUCAUACUGCAAGUUCACAUUAUGCAUCAGCCUUUUGUGACACGCAAUGCAUUCAGAAAGGUUCAAAGAAAAGCAUACUCAUUCUUUACUGAUGGAUUAUUCUUCAUUCAUCAUCAAUAGAAUGAAUUAUGGGUGCCAAUAUUUUGUAUACUAGCUGGCGUAUUAAAAAGAAUCAUCCAACUGGAAAGAGUGAACAUUUUCUAAACUAAAGGGGGUAUUCUAAUAUCAAUCCAGUGAAUUGACAAAAAGAAGCUAUCAAUGAAGAUGAUUGACCUGUUAAACAACAACAUAUUCGGCAAUAUUUCAGAAGUGAGGUCAGGACUAGUGAAAAGUUACAACACAAAAUAAACUUAAUGUUAUUUUCAAUUUCUUUAUUAUAUUUUAUGAAGAGCUUUGCUAAUUUCAUUCUGAUUGUGUCAUAUAAGCUUCACUAAAGUUGCUAUAUUUUCAUUCCAAUUUGAAUUUAAACCCACGACGUUAGAAUAUGGUUUGUUGACUAUCAUAUUUUAGCGGUUGGUCUUAAAUUCUUUCAACACAGCUAUGGUGGCAAACUUGAAGAAUGGUUUUCUCAGAUUUAUUUAAUUGGGAGAAUUAAGUGCAGAAAAAGGUAAUUAUCAAUUGUGUAUUGUUAAAAUUUGCGUAAUGCGCAAAGAGAUGCUUUUGCUUUCUCACAUGUAUGUAUUGCACCCAUGUUUUGCUUUCAUGUUGGAUCUGCCAAUCAUUAUGAAGAAUUAUUCGUAGAUCUUGAUGGUGUGUCUAGAAUUUCAAAUUUUCAAAAUGGUUAUCAUUUUUCAAAAUGGUAAGGCUGCUUACAAUAGACCCUUUUGGUGAGACCCUAUGCAUAGCGAGAACUUUAUAACAGUGGAUUUUCCUUUUAAAAGCUUAUUUUCAGCUGAUUAUAAUGAGCAAUAAUAAUGAUAAUGAUUAGGAAAUAAGUACUUGAAGUUAUUGGAACUAAAGCACAAGUGCAGGCCAAAACGAAUGAAGUGGAGAUGGUCAAAUGCUCUAUGCCAGUGUUGUGGAUUUACAGGGGAGAAGAUGGAGCCAUUACAUCGAUAGCUAGGGAGAGAAACUAAGGCAAUGGAUUGGUAGAGGAGUAAAUAGUGACGUUCUUCUCUAUUGGUGUCAUAAAAUAAAAACCAAGGUAAAUUUAUAAAAUCAAUUAUGAAAAAUAAUAUUUAGCAUUUAAGCUAUGAUUAAUUUUCUUUUAAAGUAUUUUUUUUACAAAUAUGCAGACGUAUAUUGAAUUUAUACUUAGCAGAAUGGAAAAAAGAACUUUGUCUAUUAUGACAAUAAUUGCAAAAAAAAAAAAAACGAGAGCAUUAACAAUUUUAAUUUACUUUCCCUAUAUUAGUAAUACAAAACUUGGUUUGUAAUUUAUCUGUUAAGCUUGAAUUUUUCUUUAUAUUUAUUUCUUCAAUAGUGAUGCAGGUUUGACGAAAUUAAAAUAUGAAAGUAAAAUGUUACAUUAGCCGCGCAUCGCGCGGGUAUGUAUACUAGUUACUACUAAGAUUGGAGUUCAAUCACCGAGCAAAGCAAAGCGCUCAACAUUUUUUGUGCCUCAGGGCUUAACUGUGCCUUUGACAAUACAUCUUGAAUCAAUUUUGGUUACAAGUUGAGCAUGCACCUACAUAUAGAUUAUUCCAUAUUAGACAUGGCUUUAUUUAUUUUUGGAGCGAUUAAAGUGAUUGCUUCUUUAAUUUGUCUGUUAAGUUGUAUAUACAAAAAUUGUUACCAUCAUGUGGCAAAGCACUGUGUGCCUCAAUACUUGAGCAAACUAUGACCUAUUUAUACCUAUAUCAAGAGUUUUGUUUCUCUUUUUAUGGUGUUGAAAACUGAAUUUAAAAGAUGAUAAGGGUAAAAUAUUUUGAGCCACUUUACUUCAUGGCAUUUUACCUAAAAUACUGCAGGCAGAGGAUACUUUAAGUGCCUUUAUACUCAAAUCUUAACAUCGAAUACUUCCUGAAAUUGUUACUAUAUCUUUAUAUACACUUGUAUUAUUUUUCAUAUUUCACUUCAGUACUUACAAGAAACAAUGACAAGGAAACCCAGAGAAAUAUGAUGAGGCAUUCUCACAGGUGAAAAGGCGCAACAAUAUCAUCAUCAUUUCUAAAUUCAAAGGUUUGUUGUGAUAUUCUAAAAAUGUCACAUCUUUGGAAUAAAGAAGAUCUGAUGGGUAGUUGCUAUAUUAGAUGUUAGAGUAAAGAAGAUCGAGGGUGGUAGUGAUGAAUAUGGAAAAGAAGAGUUCCGUCCUUGACUUUCGACCACAAGAAUGUAAAAAUUUUCUUAUGCCGACUUUUGAAGUUUGUGUUUCAAGGUCUGAUGAUUCUAUUUUGAGAAUAAUAGGCUAUGCUACCCUAUCAAAUUAUCGGUCAAAGGUACAGGAGAAAGCACAGAGAGAGUUGAAAGGUUUUCUUAUUGAUGUCAUAGUAAGAGAUCUUUUGAAAACUAUGUCUUUUGCGAAUGUAGUAAAUCAAAAAAAAUUCAGGUAAAUGCAAAUGUUGGUUUUUAAAGUACUGUCAGUUC